AUCCAACCCAAUGUGAACGUUACCAAACUGUUGCCUCGGCGGGAUCUCUGCCCCGGGUGCGUCGCAGCCCCGGACCAAGGCGCCCGCCGGAGGACCAACCAAAACUCUUUUUGUAUACCCCCUCGCGGGUUUUUUAUAAUCUGAGCCUUCUCGGCGCCUCUCGUAGGCGUUUCGAAAAUGAAUCAAAACUUUCAACAACGGAUCUCUUGGUUCUGGCAUCGAUGAAGAACGCAGCGAAAUGCGAUAAGUAAUGUGAAUUGCAGAAUUCAGUGAAUCAUCGAAUCUUUGAACGCACAUUGCGCCCGCCAGUAUUCUGGCGGGCAUGCCUGUCCGAGCGUCAUUUCAACCCUCGAACCCCUCCGGGGGGUCGGCGUUGGGGAUCGGCCCUCCCUUAGCGGGUGGCCGUCUCCGAAAUACAGUGGCGGUCUCGCCGCAGCCUCUCCUGCGCAGUAGUUUGCACACUCGCAUCGGGAGCGCGGCGCGUCCACAGCCGUUAAACACCCAACUUCUGAAAUGUUGACCUCGGAUCAGGUAGGAAUACCCGCUGAACUUAAGCAUGUGGAGGGGGGGGGAGGAAGG
rnacentral:rRNA from 1 species